GGGCGAUUAGCUCAGUUGGGAGAGCACCUGCCUUACACGCAGGAGGUCUGCGGUUCGAUCCCGGCAUAGCCCACCA
rnacentral:tRNA from 1 species